GACGAACGCUGGCGGCAUGCCUAAUACAUGCAAGUCGAGCGAAUGAUGAAGAAGCUUGCUUCUUCUGAUUUAGCGGCGGGCGGGUGAGUAACACGUGGGCAACCUGCCCUGUAGAUUGGGAUAACUCCGGGAAACCGGGCUAAUACCGAAUAAUCCAUUCGUCUCUCAUGUGAGAAUGUUAAAAGACGGUUUCGGCUGUCACUACAGGAUGGGCCCGCGGCGCAUUAGCUAGUUGGUGAGGUAACGGCUCACCAAGGCGACGAUGCGUAGCCGACCUGAGAGGGUGAUCGGCCACACUGGGACUGAGACACGGCCCAGACUCCUACGGGAGGCAGCAGUAGGGAAUCUUCCACAAUGGACGAAAGUCUGAUGGAGCAAUGCCGCGUGAGUGAAG
rnacentral:rRNA from 1 species